rnacentral:lncRNA from 1 species
AAUGAUGCUUUGAAACUUUAAAUUUAAUUCAUAGUAAUAUGACAAAGAAAAAGUAAAUCACUCUUAAUUUAUGAAAUUGAACAAACAAAUUGAAACAUCUCUUAAAAAAAUACCUUUUUUGAAAAAAGCAUCAAGAGAAAAUAAAAUCUCCCACAAAAAUCUUGAUGUCAAUAAAAUAAUGGCGCUAUGCGGUUGGCCACUUGACAAACUGUGACUCCUCCAAUCAAGACAACAUUAAGAAGCCACGUAUAUGCUGAGGCAUCUUUCUUCAUCACGCAGAAGCAAUAAGGUAAUGCAAUGUGGCAACCUUUUGAAGACAAACAACAUAAUGAAAAGAAUGGCCAAUGAUUAAACUUUUGUUUUCAUGCAGCACAACAAGCUCACCCAACUCUUAGGGAAUGCCCAUUCUCUU